AAAGUCCUGUUGCAUUCUGGCCACACCCCUCUCACACCCUGUGGCAUGAUCUUGUAGAAAACUUGUCUUCCUUAACACCUAAACCAAAAUUCUGUGGACGUUUCUCCCAAGACCAAGCAACUAGAGGAAGACUCCUCUCUGCUUUUGUGUGUCUGUGAACAAAAUGUUCUGUGGCUUCUCAUCGGUCAUGCUGCCAGCUUCCUGCUCAGGACUUGUGAUUCUGUUGAUCCUCAGAGGAACCAGUGGAGACUCCGUGACCCAGACAGAAGGCCUGGUCACCCUCCUGGAAGGCACAGAACUAACCUUGAACUGCACUUAUCAGACCAGCUAUACAUCGUUCCUUUACUGGUACAUCCAGUAUCAACACCGAGGGCUUGAGCUCCUCCUGAAAAGCUCAUCUGAAACCCAGGAGGUGAGCAGCAAAGGCUUCCUGGCCAGUCAUGUCAAGAGUCAGAGUUCCUUCCACCUGAGGAAAACCACUGUGAAAAUGUCAGACUCAGCCAUGUACUUCUGUGCUCUGCAGACACAGUGAGAGUAGUUGCAGGGGGAGCUGAACACAAACCCUGAGGGUGCAGGUGAGGCUUGACUGUGUGCAGUCCUGAUAGGAGCUGUCUUCCCUUGCUAGCGUCCUAUCCUGGAGGCUUCCAACUUUGAUGCAACAGAGCCCAGGAGCCAUAGAGUUCUUGGAUGACUCCCCAGAGAGGAAUUGUGGCUGAAUCAGAGUCGAGGGAAAUUAAAGCUGUGAUUUUUAGCAAGACUUCUCUUUUUAGUACCUCUGUCUCUUCUAUAAUGGACAAAUAUUCUUAAGCAGUAAUGCCAACUUUGGUAUAUGCUCAGUUGAUCUGUGCUGAAAUAUUUCACAAAGUGUUUACAAAAUUCCCCAGAGGGGGGAAAAUUUCACAGGCUAUGUGUGACCUUGAAUCUUUUAACUCCUGGAAUCAGGAUUGUAUGC